UACGAAGGGGCUAGCGUUGUCCGGAAUUACUGGGCGUAAAGAGCUCGUAGGUGGUUUGUCGCGUCGUCUGUGAAAUUCAGGGGCUUAACCUCGGGCGUGCAGGCGAUACGGGCAAUACUUGAGUGCUGUAGGGGAGACUGGAAUUCCUGGUGUAGCGGUGAAAUGCGCAGAUAUCAGGAGGAACACCGAUGGCGAAGGCAGGUCUCUGGGCAGUAACUGACGCUGAGGAGCGAAAGCAUGGGUAGCGAACAGGAUUAGA
rnacentral:rRNA from 1 species